CCUUUAGAUGUCCUGGGCUGCACGCGCGCUACACUGAUGUGUCCAGUAAGCACCUAACCUCUUCCGAAAGGAACGGGUAACCUUUGCAAAGCACAUCGUGAUGGGGGUAGAUUAUUGCAAUUAUUAGUCUUGAACGAGGAAUUCCUAGUAAGCACAAGUCAUCAGCUUGUGUUGAUUACGUCCCUGCCCUUUGUACACACCGCCCGUCGCUCCUACCGAUUGAAUGUUCCGGUGAGCUCUUCGGACUGCGCGGUCUGCAGUUUCUGCGUUCCGUGCGGAAAGUUGCGCAAACCUUAACAUUUAGAGGAAGGAGAAGUCGUAACA
rnacentral:rRNA from 1 species